rnacentral:rRNA from 1 species
CGUGAGGAGUUGGUUAAGUCACGCAAGAGCGCACACCUAUUGUUAGUUGCCAUCACAUAAUGGUGGGCACUCUAAUGAGACUGCCCGGGUCAACCGGGAGGAAGGUGGGGACGACGUCAAGUCAUCAUGGGCCUUACGCCUAGGGCUACACACGUACUACAAUGGUGCAUACAAAGGGUUGCGAAACCGCGAGGUCAAGCCAAUCCCAAAAAAUGCAUCCCAGUCCGGAUCGGAGUCUGCAACUCGACUCCGUGAAGUUGGAAUCGCUAGUAAUCCCGGAUCAGCAUGCCGGGGUGAAUACGUUCCCGGGCCUUGUACACACCGCCCGUCACACCACGAAAGCUGGUUCUACCCGACAACGGCGGACUAACCCUUCGGGAGGUAGGUCGUCUACGGUAGGGCUGGUGAUUGGGGUGAAGUCGUAACAAGGUACCA